UACGUAGGGGGCUAGCGUUGUCCGGAAUCAUUGGGCGUAAAGAGCGUGUAGGCGGUCCGGUAAGUCCGCUGUGAAAGUCGGGGGCUCAACCCUCGAAUGCCGGUGGAUACUGUCGGGCUAGAGUGCGGAAGAGGCGAGUGGAAUUCCUGGUGUAGCGGUGAAAUGCGCAGAUAUCAGGAGGAACACCAAUUGCGAAGGCAGCUCGCUGGGACGUAACUGACGCUGAGGCGCGAAAGCGUGGGGAGCGAACAGG
rnacentral:rRNA from 1 species